rnacentral:lncRNA from 1 species
CAAAUCAUCACACAAGUGCAUAACACCAAAGAUGAACGGCACCAUCUAGCUAGAUAAUUCUAUACCAAAAUAUCACUUAGUGUACUAUGUUCAACUGCUAGACAUACAUGGGUAAGUUUUAACACCAAACACCUCCGUUCAUCAACUACCAUUUUCAACAAAAGUAAAUAUCCAUAGUUGUCCUAGAUAAACAGCGACAUCUAAUAUAUAAUAAGUACCAAAAGAUCACUUAGUGUACUAUGAUAACUGCAUUAUAACCUAAGAGCUUGCAUCCCUGGUCAACGGAGUACCAUUAUCAUUGUCACUAGAAAUGGUGGCACAAAGAUCUCCUAAAUUAAUUUGUAAAUUUGGAUUUGCCUCGCUUAACUUUUUCAGAACCACAGCGAGCUUUGAAUCUACUUCUUCCUGGACAUCUUUUUUUACCUUGGCUUCAAUUUCCACUUCGAGAUUUUGCCUGAUCUGAGAUGUCAACUCCUGGAUGUAAGUGUUCGUGGCAGUAGGGGUUGAAACAUUGGCAGACUUGAUUUUUCAUCAAAUAAGCCAAGACGGGCCAUGUGUUUUACCAUCAGUGACAAGAUCAUCAAUGUUAGAACUACCCUCCCCUGUAUUCACCGCUUUUUCAAUUUUCUCCUGAAAAUAACGCCAUGAUGAGAUACUCACAUUAGAUACCAAUUAAGUAACAUGUUUUUACUGGAUUGACUAAUUAACAAAUUAGUUACUUACAAGUCUGUAGUUCAUCACAGCAGU